GCUAACUCCAAAAGGGCAGAAGCAUGAUUUUCUUGCAUCCUCCCUGGAUCACCUUGAGCGUGGCACUUUACAGGACCAGCUUUUCAACAAAUGAAUAGCUCACAUACAGGAAGCCUUCCACUCCUGCUUAUCCUUUAAGACCUGGCUCAGCUCUUACGUCCUCCAGGACGUCUUCUUGGACUCCCUGAUCCUCCUCAAUCAGGCCAAAUCUUCCGUUCUUCAUACACACUUGUUACCUGCCCGUGCACACCUUCCCUUCCCUGCUUGGGUGCCUUUAUCCUUACCUGCAUGAAUCCACAUCAUCCUGCCUAUGACUCAAGAUGCAUGGAAGGGACCCUGCUCCACUCAGCUUUCCUCAGCCACUGCAGCUGCAGGGAGGAACCCCUCAUCUGGGCCUCAGACCACCAUAUCUUCUCCUCUCAUCCCGCUGUGGGUCAGCCGGUGCUCCCUAGAUCUUAUUUCCCUGCCCACUUGUAAAUUCUUGGGAAGUUGGGAAGCUCAUGUUCAUUUUACCCUUGUUAUCCCCAUAGCAGAGCACCGAGUGGCCCCCUCCACCCAACUCCCUAUCUUUUAAGUCACUUGGAAUUAAUGAUUGAGAGAAUAAAUGAAUUGUAAGCGCAGGGCCCUCUUGUGGCGAAGUGACAGAAUCAGCAGUUUGUCUUUCAGCGCCUGGCCUCCUCUUUC